rnacentral:lncRNA from 1 species
CGUGGACUACCUGCGCCUUCGCCGGCGCACCGCCGCCCGCGUGCGCCGCGCUCGCGCUGUGGCUCGUGGUGCUCUUCUACCUCCUGGGCGACACCUAAAGGAUCACACAAUUGUUAGUUUUGCACUCCACCUGAAGUCUAAAGUGAUGUGUUGUGUACAGUCUAAAGUCCAUUUUGUGUAGGAUUCGGCGAUUUGCACUCCACCUGAUGUUGCUUUGCUCGCAACUUUUGCUUGCCACGACGGAGGCUAGAUCCAGCUCCUAGGUGUCCGUCGUCCUUCCAUCUCCCACCCUCCCUCGUUGGAGCACGAGCACCAAAGGUGCCCAGAUCUUCGUCGGCCCUGCCCCUGCUUCCUUCAACUCCACCACCAGGUAAUGCCCUGGACUUAAUUGAAUGGGCUCUCUUCUCACCAGGAUCGGUGUCCUGCCAUGGCUCCACGCCAUGAUUGUUGAUCCCGUGCUGUAGGUCAUCAGAAGGUAGGGACCACUCCCAUCUGCUGUAGUUCUUCUCCCAAUUGCUUCAUUUCAGUCAUAAUAAUAGUUAUUAAUGCAUCCGUCAGAGCGAUUUUUAACUAUUUAACGUUCAAUCUCCAAUCCAACUGUCUUUAACUUUUUAACGCCAUUUUCAUCGGUCUCUAAUAAUAAACCAUUUAGGGCAUGUUCGUUUCUAGCGGUUUAGUCUGUUCCGGGCCUCGUUCCACAUGGAAACAAUUAGUCUGGUUUGAAAUUUGACUAUUUUAUUCUGGACUG